rnacentral:rRNA from 1 species
UGCUUAACACAUGCAAGUCGAACGGCAGCAUGACUUAGCUUGCUAGGUUGAUGGCGAGUGGCGGACGGGUGAGUAACGCGUAGGAAUAUGCCCUAAAGAGGGGGAUAACUUGGGGAAACUCAAGCUAAUACCGCAUACACUCUGAGGAGGGAAGCUGGGGACCUUAGGGCCUGGCGCUUUAGGAAUAGCCUGCGUCUGAUUAGCUAGUUGGUGGGGUAAGGGCCUACCAAGGCGACGAUCGGUAGCUGGUCUGAGAGGAUGAUCAGCCACACUGGGACUGAGACACGGCCCAGACUCCUACGGGAGGCAGCAGUGGGGAAUAUUGGACAAUGGGGGGAACCCUGAUCCAGCAAUGCCGCGUGUGUGAAGAAGGCCUGAGGGUUGUAAAGCU